rnacentral:rRNA from 1 species
CCUACGGGAGGCAGCAGUGGGGAAUAUUGGGCAAUGGAGGCAACUCUGAUCCAGCAACGCCGCGUGAAUGAUGAAGGUCUUCGGAUUGUACAGCUCUUUUCUAAGGGAAGAAGAAAGUGACGGUACCUUAGGAAUAAUCCUCGGCUAACUACGUGCCAGCAGCCGCGGUAAUACGUAGGAGGCAAGCGUUAUCCGGAAUGACUGGGCGGAAAGGGUGCGUAGGUGGUGUGACAAGUUAGUAGCGAAACUCCGGGGCUCAACUUCGGAACUACUACUAAAACUGUUGGACUUGAGUGCAGGAGGGGCAAUCGGAAUUCCUAGUGUAGCGGUGGAAUGCGUAGAUAUUAGGAGGAACACCAGUGGCGAAGGCGGAUUGCUAGACUGUAACUGACACUGAGGCACGAAAGCGUGGGGAGCAAACAGGAUUAGAUACCCCAGUAGUC